GAGAGUUAAACAGUACGUGAAAUUGUUGAAAGGGAAACGAUUGAAGUCAGUCAUACCAACGGGAAAUCAACCUCUUGAGUUUGGUCUCGUGGGUUUCGAAGAGUUUAAAAGCCUUCGGAUUUUCGAGAUUGGGCUCUUCUGGUGUACUUUCUCGUACGGUUAGUCAACAUCGGUUUUGAAUGUCAUAAAAUGACUGGAGGAAUGUGGCUUCGAUCUCGUAUUGAAGUGUUAUAGCCUUUGGUAGAUGUGAUGUUCGAGACCGAGGAUUGCAACGGAUACCCUUCUGGGCUAUUCGUCUGAUCUCUGAAACGUUGCCUUGAUGUCGAAAGCUUGCUUAUGAUGUUAGGGUAUUACGAUCAAAAGGUUAGAACGGAUUAAAUUCGUUAAGGAUGUUGACGUAAUGACUUUAAACGA
rnacentral:rRNA from 1 species